GUUCAGAUAGAGCAUGCGCCCGUGCCCCGAACCCGCUGGCCGCAUCCCUCUCGGGAUAAGCAUCAUCCCGACAACUCCGCAGCCCCUCCUAGCGCCUAUAAAUGCCCCCGACGCCCCUCGUUCGAUUCUGCCACUUUGCUCACCCCCUCGCUCAACCGAGCCACCGCCUUCGUCAGUUGGAUCUCACUGGCACCGGAGGACCUCACCGUUGUUUUUGUCGCCAGUUCGCCGGAGACGCCGCCCCGACGACCCGCGUCCUCGCCGGAGCACAGAGCCGCCGACCUUCGCUCCGUCCGUCUCGGCCACCCCGACGCACGCCGCCUCCACCACCGGACCGCCCACUCCACGUCGGUCUCGUUCGCCUUCUCCCCCGCCGUCGGAGGCCACCGCAGCCGUCGCCCCGUCCGCUGCCUAACGCGAGCGCCGCUGCCUCCUGUACGUCGUCGUCGCUACCAUUUUCAUCGGAGAGUGACGAAUAGUUCUAAUAAGUAAAAUUCUGAGAGCGGUAUAAUCUUCAUCAACUAUUACCAGGCAAGUUC